rnacentral:rRNA from 1 species
UACAGAGGGGGCAAGCGUUGUUCGGAAUUACUGGGCGUAAAGGGCGCGUAGGCGGCCUGUUAAGUCGAACGUGAAAUCCCCGGGCUCAACCCGGGAACUGCGUCCGAAACUGGCAGGCUCGAAUUCGGGAGAGGGGUGCGGAAUUCCAGGUGUAGCGGUGAAAUGCGUAGAUAUCUGGAGGAACAUCGGUGGCGAAGGCGGCAUCCUGGACCGAUAUUGACGCUGAGGCGCGAAAGCCAGGGGAGCAAACGGG